rnacentral:rRNA from 1 species
GGUGAACGCUGGCGGCGUGCCCAAUACAUGCAAGUCGAGCGAACGGACGAGAAGCUUGCUUCUCUGAUGUUAGCGGCGGACGGGUGAGUAACACGUGGAUAACCUACCUAUAAGACUGGGAUAACUUCGGGAAACCGGAGCUAAUACCGGAUGAUAUUUUGAACCGCAUGGUUCAAAAGUGAAAGACGGUCUUGCUGUCACUUAUAGAUGGAUCCGCGCUGCAUUAGCUAGUUGGUAAGGUAACGGCUUACCAAGGCAACGAUGCAUAGCCGACCUGAGAGGGUGAUCGGCCACACUGGAACUGAGACACGGUCCAGACUCCUACGGGAGGCAGCAGUAGGGAAUCUUCCGCAAUGGGCGAAAGCCUGACGGAGCAACGCCGCGUGAGUGAUGAAGGUCUUCGGAUCGUAAAACUCUGUUAUUAGGGAAGAACAUAUAUGUAAGUAACUGUGCACAUCUUGACGGUACCUAAUCAGAAAGCCACGGCUAACUACGUG